rnacentral:tRNA from 1 species
GCUGACGUAGCUCAUCUGGUAGAGCAGCUGACUUGUAAUCAGCAGGUAGUAGGUUCAAGUCCUAUCGUCAGCU